GCCCAGCCGUAAACAAUUAACUCACACCAACUAACGCCAGGGAACUACGAGCCAUGCUUAAAACCCAAAGGACUUGACGGUGUCCCAUCCACCUAGAGGAGCCUGUUCUAUAAUCGAUGAUCCCCGCUAUACCUUACCCCUUUUUGCUUUCUCAGCCUGUAUACCUCCGUCGAAAGCCUACCAUAUGAACGUGUAUAGUAGGCUCAAUGAUUAUAUUUACAUCAAAACGUCAGGUCAAGGUGCAGCUCACGAAGUGGUGAGAAAUGGGCUACAGUUUCUAAUAUAGAACAAACGGAAGGUUAUGUGUAACCAUAAUCAUGAAGGCGGAUUUAGUAGUAAGAAGAAAAUAGAGUGUUCUUCUUAACCCGGCUCUGGGACGCGUACACACCGCCCGUCACCCUCUUCAAUGAUUUAAACUUAGAUUUAUAACCUCAUAUCUGCAUUUUUAGAAGAGGCAAGUCGUAACAUGGUAAGUGUACUGGAAAGUGCACUUGGCUAACAAAAUGUAGCUUAACUAAAGCCUCCCGCUUACACCGGAAAAACAUCUGUUAAAAUCAGAUCAUUUUGAGCCUAAAAUCUAGCCCAUCUCCUCCCUAUGUUAACUCCAAUUAACUUUCAACAAACAAAACAUUUUAAUAUAUUAGUAUAGGCGAUUAAAAAUUUUCUUGGCGCUUUAGAAAUAGUACCGCAAGGGAAUGAUGAAAUAGCAAUGAAAUAACCUUUAAGCCCUAAAUAGCAGAGCUUCCCCCUCG
rnacentral:rRNA from 1 species